GUUGUUAUUAUUAUUAUUACAUCACUAAUCAUUGAAGAAAAAAAUCACAAAGUUAACUAACCCCCAACUAAUUCGUUAGAGACUUAGUUCUUCCUUCAAAGUAGAACAAACAGAACCAAAUUCAACUAAUUCUUCCCACAAAAUAAAAAACCCCAACUAAUUUUUCCCACAAAAUCGAACAAACAAAACCAAAUUGCCCCUAUGUUAUUCCAACUCUCAGACUUUCGCUCAUCUAUUCCUAAUAGGUUAACCCCAAAAUAGCAUCAAAUUUGAUUUUGAUUUCGAUUAAAUUAAUACUCCGUAUCAACUUUUAAUUUGUUGGUGUAGAUUGAAGAGAGUAAAGAAUUAAAUAUAGAUAGUUUGUUGCCAUCUUCUAAUAAUAUCUUGGUGCAACCUGAAAAUAGCAGCGGAAUACAUCAAUGUGAUUUGAUAAGCUUACAAAUGUUGGAGGAGAUAUUAAGAAUUUCUUAGCUGCCAAACAGCCGCAGCAGCAGGCAGCUGCUAGCCCUACCAGCAGGCAGUUAGAGCCGUUAGCAGCUGGCAGCCUGCAUCUAGAAGCCUGCAGCUAUCAGCCACUAGUAGGAAGCAGCAAGCCGACAACCACUAGAUGCAGCUAGCCGCCACAAGCAGGAAGUCACCAGCGGGCGUGCAGUCGCAGACUGUAGUCAGGAACAACAACUUAGGUAAAAAUAUACUGAAUUCUUGGUUUUUUUUUUCUUUCUGAAACAAUUCUUGGGUUUUUAUUAUUGCAAAGUAUUUGUUAAAUUGGACUUUAGAAUAAGAAUUAGUUUGUCAAAAUUUACUUUGAGUGAAAUCAUGUUGGUAACUAAAAUUAGAUAAUUACAACUUUGUAAGUAUUAUUAUUCUCACUAGAUAUAUGGUAUAUAUCUCAAGUAGACACAAAUAUUAAAAGAUCUUGGGGAUUUUGUGAGUUAACUGAUAUUUUUACAACAUCCAUGUCUGAUUUUGGAAUUUUUGGGUAUAUAUCCCUUAUGCUAGAUAGCAGUGAGUUUUUAUAACUGUUGUCCUAUGACAUGCGCUUGAAACAGGUGAUGAAAUUCUUCUGGACAACUUACAAACUCGCUGAAAUUCUUUUUUCUUUGUUGGAAAUGCUGAUUUUCUCUGCUGAAUCUUUGCAAGGAUAUUGUUUUUUGUUCUUGAAAAUCUUGCUAUUUUGCAAAAAUGUUGAAUUUUCUACUGAAAACCUUGAAUUUUUCCGCUGACAGUUUCUGACUUUUUUGCUGAAGAGUUUGAUUUCUCAGGCAAAAAUUUCAAAUUUUUCAACUGAAAAUUCUGUCUCUUUCCCACUUUGUUGUACUCUGAGUAUUUCUCCUUUGAUAACCGCAGGCUUGUAAGUGUUGCUAAUUCUUCAGGCAACCUUGAGGAGCUUUAAGAUUCUUGUUCUGAUUUCUUCCACUUGAAGUCUUACUUGCUUCGUUGUGGACUUGUUGAUAAAUUGAAUUGUUGCUCUUUCUCGAGAUAUCUUAUUAUCCUUUUUCAAAUGACCUUUUGCUCUUUUAAAUUCAAUUUCUUGACUAAAAAUGGCUCUUGAUUCAAGAUAAUUCCUUGACGUGAUUGCAAUCUUGCCUCUACUAGGCUGCUACAACAACUGUUGUUAGAUGUUCUGUACUGAGCUUGCCUCCUCAAUUGACGAUUUGUUGCAUGGAGGAGCUUGACUUUGAACUUUUUUCACAGAAUAUUGUCAGACAGCUCUUUGCACUUUCAUCUAUCCUCUCCAUGCUCAACAUUGUAUGUAAUUUAGGCAUAAGAGCCGCUAUGAGCAUCCUGCAAAUUUGAGUUAGAAAACUUUGAGUAGCUGAGCUAUAUUCUUGCCUGAUGGGCUCAUAAAAUUCUGCAAUUUACAGUUCUAAGGCAGUCUGAUGCUUUGGAUCUGUAGAGAUAAUACACCUCAAGUAGGAAAUAUUGCUUGAGUAACUACCUUGAACCUGUCUACCCCCGAGCUGCAAUGUGCUUGCUGAUACACGCUAUAAAGAAGCUCCAUAAGACACUUUUUGAAGGUCUAGCAACAUUUUUCAAACCUUAUGGUCUGAAAUUGAUCUUGCUUUCCUAUCCUCACAAUGCUGACUAGACGAUUGAGUAGCUUGAAUUACUAGACCGCUUGAAAGUUUUCUGGCAGAUUCUCUGCGAUCUCAUUGUAUUCAUAAUGACUCGUCAUAGAACUUGUAUCAUCUAAACUUAUGCUUAGGAGGAUUCUCAAGAAACUCAUGAGUAGCUGAAGGUCUCAACUAAAGACACUGAUAUGGCAAACAUGCUGUUGAACUAUGUGCCCGUCUAUGCAAUGAUACCGCAAUUCAGUAAGCCUGCAUUAAACAACAAUUCAGUAAGCCUGCAUUAAUCAGCAUUCAGCACAAGCAUUUCCUUAAUUAAGUCACAUAAAAAAUUAUUGCAUAUGAGAAAUUUGAAGUCUAGGAAAUACGGCUCCUUAAUCAAGGCCAUUUACAGAUUCACUACGGCCAAAAUUAUGGUACAUAGCAUAUAAUGAUUUACACCAGAAGUGCUACUGAGUCAGAUAAAAGGCGAAGCAUUUCAAACAUGCCAGAACACUAUAUGCAUGUAUGAGUAGGCUUAACACUAUACCACAACAUUCUUAUGGGGAGGGAGAACCUUAAAUAAAUGAAUUGUUAUCUCCUCCCACAACCCCCAAAAUAAGAAAGAUGGUUCCCGUUUGUAGGGAGGCGAUCAUUUUGUACUUCUUAAAGUUCUUGUUAGUUUGGCACAAGGUUGUAAAUUGAUUGAAAUUGAUUUGUUUAUGAACGUGGACGUCCAUGAGAAGGCUCAUCUUGAACUAUAAUUUAUGAACAUAGACUUGUUAUUGCAA